rnacentral:lncRNA from 1 species
GUUAAAGGUCAGGGGUUAGAGGUGGCCUUGGUCUGCUAGCUGGACAUCUAGGGUCAGCACUAUGUCUAUAGACACAGAGGUCAGGGGUUAAAGGUCAGGGGUUAGAGGGGCCUUGGUCUGCUAGCUGGACAUCUAGGGUCAGAACUAUCGACACAGAGGUCAGGGGUUAAAGGUCAGGGGUUAGAGGUGGCCUUGGUCUGCUAGCUGGACAUCUAGGGUCAUCACUAUGACUAUAGACACAGAGGUCAGGGGUUAAAGGUCAGGGGUUAGAGGUGGCCUUGGUCUGCUAGCUGGACAUCUAGGGUCAGCACUAUGUCUAUAGACACAGAGGUCAGGGGUUAAAGGUCAGGGGUUAGAGGUGGCCUUGGUCUGCUAGCUGGACAUCUAGGAUCAGGGGUUAAAGGUCAGG